rnacentral:rRNA from 1 species
UACGUAGGGACCAAGCGUUGUUCGGAUUUACUGGGCGUAAAGGGCGCGUAGGCGGCUUAACAAGUCACUUGUGAAAUCUCCGGGCUUAACUCGGAACGGCCAAGUGAAACUGUCAAGCUAGAGUGCAGAAGGGGCAAUCGGAAUUCUUGGUGUAGCGGUGAAAUGCGUAGAUAUCAAGAGGAACACCUGAGGCGAAGGCGGGUUGCUAGGCUGACACUGACGCUGAGGCGCGAAAGCUAGGGUAGCAAACGGGG